rnacentral:rRNA from 1 species
GACGAACGCUGGCGGCGUGCUUAACACAUGCAAGUCGAACGGAAAGGCCUCUUUCGGGGGGUACUCGAGUGGCGAACGGGUGAGUAACACGUGAGUAACCUGCCCUUGACUUUGGGAUAACUUCAGGAAACUGGGGCUAAUACCGGAUAGGAGCUCCUGCUGCAUGGUGGGGGUUGGAAAGUUUCGGCGGUUGGGGAUGGACUCGCGGCUUAUCAGCUUGUUGGUGGGGUAGUGGCUUACCAAGGCUUUGACGGGUAGCCGGCCUGAGAGGGUGACCGGCCACAUUGGGACUGAGAUACGGCCCAGACUCCUACGGGAGGCAGCAGUGGGGAAUAUUGCACAAUGGGUGGAAGCCUGAUGCAGCAACGCCGUGUGCGGGAUGUCGGCCUUCGGGUUGUAAACCGCUUUCGCUCAUGACGAAGCUUUGCGUGACGGUAGUGGGUAAAGAAGCACCGGCUAACUACGUG